rnacentral:rRNA from 1 species
GACGAACGCUGGCGGUGGGCUUAACACAUGCAAGUCGAACGGAAAGGCCCUGCUUGUUUGGUGUUCUCGAUGGGCGAACGGGGGAGGAACACGUGAGUAACCGGCCCUUGACUUUGGUAUAGCUUCAGGAAACUGGAGCUAAUACCGUAUAGGAUCUGCUGCUGCGGGGAAGGGGUGGGAACUUCUAGGCGGUUGGGGAUGGACGCGCGGCUGAUCGGCUUGUUGGUUGGGUAGUUGCUUACCAAGGCAGUGACGGGUAGCCGGCAUGAGAGGGUGAACGGGCACCUUGGGACUGAGAUAGGGCGCAGAGUCGUAUGGGAGGCAGUAGGCGCAAACCUUGUCCAAUGGGAGCAAGCCGGAUGCAGAAACGCUGGGUGCGGGAAGCCGGUCUUUUGGUUGUAAAAAGCUUCAGGCUGUGACGCAGCGUGAGUGACGGUACUGGGUAAAGAAGCACCGGCUAACUACGUG